UUAGUCCAAUUGUUCGCAAGGACUUUUACCGUGAAAUCCGCGCGUUGGAUACAGCCAUCAAGUCUUCAGAUUGGUCAUUUAUUCCCGUUGGACUAUUGCGCUACACACAUUUAUCUACCGAUGGUGUUCAUUUGUCGCAAAUGGGCUGCCUGAAUUUGGCGAAAUUAAUUUGUGAGAGAGUAUCCUUAACUCUUUUGACAUCUGCCGUGCCGUUUACUAUCAGCUCAUCUUCAGUGUUUGGCGUCUCUCAAAUUUCCCUUGACGUUUGCAAUAAAUCUGUUUUGAGCAUAGCUGAUUCCCUCUUUGCAGAGCUUUACAAAUCAUACAAACAGGAAUCUUGGACACAUGUCAACGGGCGCUCUGUCAAGUGGAUUUCAGAGGUUCCAUACUCAUAUGGAAGCGUUCGCCACCCGCCCAACAACUCUUGGUCACCACAGUUGUUGUUGUUAAAGACCUUGUUGGAGAAAGAACUCAAAGUUUCCUUCAACAGUGUCCUCAUCAACAUUUAUUGUUCCCUCGAAGAGUAUUUUUAGGGAGUUGGAUUUCACGCUGACAACGAACGUGGUAUUCCUGAUUAUCCAACCAUUGCCAGCGUAUCCCUUGGAGCCACCCGACGCUUUGCAAUGAAAAGAAACGGGACCACGCGCUCUGAAGUUUCUGUUUUGUUGCCACAUGGUAGCGUUUUUACCAUGCUCGGAGCUUGCCAGAAAGACUGGAAGCACAGCAUCUUGAGAGGAUCCACUGCACCCGAUGGAUCGUUUGAGAAAUGGAAUGGCGUCCGUUUAAAUUUGACGUUCCGUAAUCAGUUUGACGCUGAACGUUGAAGUUUUAUGUCAUUUUUAUUACUUGCCGGUUUUUGAAGGUUGAAUUUGAACUUGAUUUCGUGGAAUA